AGAACAAUAUAAAUGCUAAUUUAUUAGCGGUAGUGAGGAGGGGGAGGGUGUCGAGUGGCUGCCAACAGUCACACUCAUUGAGAAUAGUGAAAGGACGGUAUUAUUGAAAUAUAACACGAAUACGAGUAUUGAUAUCCGCCUC
ensembl:ncRNA K09F5.8 ncRNA